AUUGAACGCUGGCGGCAGGCUUAACACAUGCAAGUCGAGCGGAGUGAUGGUGCUUGCACUAUCACUUAGCGGCGGACGGGUGAGUAAUGCUUAGGAAUCUGCCUAUUAGUGGGGGACAACAUCUCGAAAGGGAUGCUAAUACCGCAUACGUCCUACGGGAGAAAGCAGGGGAUCACUUGUGACCUUGCGCUAAUAGAUGAGCAUAAGUCGGAUUAGCUAGUUGGUGGGGUAAAGGCCUACCAAGGCGACGAUCUGUAGCGGGUCUGAGAGGAUGAUCCGCCACACUGGGACUGAGACACGGCCCAGACUCCUACAGGAGGCAGCAGUGGGGAAUAUUGGACAAUGGGGGGAACCCUGAUCCAGCCAUGCCGCGUGUGUGAAGAAGGCCUUAUGGUUGUAAAGCACUUUAAGCGAGGAGGAGGCUCUUUUGGUUAAUACCCAGGAUGAGUGGACGUUACUCGCAGAAUAAGCACCGGCUAACUCUGUGCCAGCAGCAGCCGCCGUAA
rnacentral:rRNA from 1 species